rnacentral:rRNA from 1 species
GUGGGGAAUAUUGGACAAUGGGGGAAACCCUGAUCCAGCGACGCCGCGUGAGUGAAGAAGUAUUUCGGUAUGUAAAGCUCUAUCAGCAGGGAAGAUAAUGACGGUACCUGACUAAGAAGCCCCGGCUAACUACGUGCCAGCAGCCGCGGUAAUACGUAGGGGGCAAGCGUUAUCCGGAUUUACUGGGUGUAAAGGGAGCGUAGACGGAAUGGCAAGUCUGAUGUGAAAGCCCGGGGCUCAACUCCGGGACUGCAUUGGAAACUGUCAAUCUUGAGUGCAGGAGGGGUAAGCGGAAUUCCUAGUGUAGCGGUGAAAUGCGUAGAUAUUAGGAGGAACACCGGUGGCGAAGGCGGCUUACUGGACUGUAACUGACGUUGAGGCUCGAAAGCGUGGGGAGCAAACAGG